GCAAUAGCUGAUUGCAUUUAAUUUAAUGUAGUUACUACUUGGUAGUUUAAAWUUCUAGGUAGAAUUAUGAUGAUGACAUUAUCUAUCUAUUAGUCUUGACCAAAUUACGUGCCAGCAGUCGCGGUAAUACGUAGAAGACAAGUGUUAUUCAUCUUUAUUAGGUUUAAAGCGUACCAAGACGGUUAAUAAAGCCCAAAAGAAAUGAAUACGGGGGACACAUUAACUAGAGUUAUAUGAAAGGAAGCUCUAAGGUACUGUUGAGUGUAGAGAUGAAAUUCUUUGAUACCAGAUGAUUGGCACAGAUUAAUGCGAAGGCAUCUUCUUAUGUAAUAACUGACGUUGUAGGACGAAGGCUUAGGAAGUGAACAGGAUUAGGUACCCCAGUAAUCUAGGCAGAAAAUGAUGAAUGUCAUAGGUUGAAUAUAUAUUAUUGUGUCUAUAAAUGAAAGUGUAAGCAUUCCACCUCAAGAGUAAUUUGGCAACAUUGGAACUGAAAUCAUUAGACCGUGUCUGAAACCAGUAGUGAAGUAUGUUGUUUAAUUAGAUGAUACACAAGAACCUUACCACAAAAUGAAUAUAUAUAAAAUAUAUUUACAAGCGCUGCACGGCUGUCUACAGUUAAUGUCGUGAGACUUUGGUUAGCUCCAGGAAAUUGACGUAAACCCUAAUUUUAUUUAUAAAUAUAAU
rnacentral:rRNA from 1 species